UACGUAGGGGGCAAGCGUUGUCCGGAUUUAUCGGGCGUAAAGAGCGUGUAGGCGGCCAGGUAGGUCCGUUGUGAAAACUCGAGGCUCAACCUCGAGACGUCGGCGGAAACCCUCUGGCUAGAGUCCGGAAGAGGAGAGUGGAAUUCCUGGUGUAGCGGUGAAAUGCGCAGAUAUCAGGAAGAACACCCGUGGCGAAGGCGGCUCUCUGGGACGGUACUGACGCUGAGACGCGAAAGCGUGGGGAGCAAACAGG
rnacentral:rRNA from 1 species